rnacentral:lncRNA from 1 species
GCGGCGGCCCCCCACAUGCAAUGAAGUGACAAUACUCAAAAUGAUCAAAAGGUCAGACACGGCGCCGCCCGAAGACAUAAUUAAGGGCAAAAAGAUCUUUUAAGGCCCCCCCUCGUCUCUUCAAGGCUACAACCUCACCUACAUAAAGAGGUAAAUAGGGACUCUUCAGGUAUGCAUGGAAAAAAAAAUACAGAUGCCCCCUCUCCUCCUAAAAAAUGCUCACACUUUUUCACCUGCUGCGAAAAAUCUGACUUGAGUGUCGGAGGGUCUCUGCCGGAGUUUCUCAUAGGUCCAACCACUGCCGACGCACCGGACGUCAUCUCGCUUUAGCACUUUCGGCCCA